AUUGAACGCUGGCGGCGUGCUUAACACAUGCAAGUCGAGCGGCAGCGCGGGAGCAAUCCUGGCGGCGAGCGGCGAACGAGUGAGUAAUGCUUCGGAAUCUGCCCAGUAGUGGGGAAUAACCAGUCGAAAGAUUGGCUAAUACCGCAUACGACCUGAGGGCGAAAGCGGGGGAUAGCAAGACCUCGCGCUAUUGGAUGUGCCGAAGUCGGAUUAGCUAGUUGGUGGGGUAACGGCUCACCAAGGCGACGAUCCGUAACCGGUCUUAGAGGACGGUCGGUCACACUGACACUGAAUAACGGGUCAGACUCCUACGGGAGGCAGCAGUCGGGAAUUUUGGGCAAUGGGCGAAAGCCUGACCCAGCAACGCCGCGUGAAGGAUGAAGUAUUUCGGUAUGUAAACUUCGAAAGAAUAGGAAGAAUUAAUGACGGUACUAUUUAUAAGGUCCGGCUAACUACGUGCCAGCCGCCGCCGUAAAAC
rnacentral:rRNA from 1 species